GUGGGUAUCCGAAGAUCCGCCAAAAGGCACGCUGCGUUCCUCAAUCCCAACCGACGUAUACGAUGAAAGGCUAUAACACUCCCGAAAGAGCCACGUUCCUGACACCCUUUUCCGUCGAUCAAAAUUGAUGUUGGCCCGUUCGAAGAGAAGUGCACUAAACAAAAGUAAAGCUGAGUCUCUCCGAACAUGACUGACUUCAAUCGUUUCCCUUUUAACAAUUUCACGUACUGUUUAACUCUCUUUCCAAAGUGCUUUUCAUCUUUCCCUCACGGUACUUGUUCGCUAUCGGUCUCCCACCAAUAUUUAGCUUUAGAUGGAAUUUACCACCCGUUUUGAGCUGCAUUCCCAAACAACUCGACUCUUAGAAAGUGUAUCACAUAGCACCGGGGAUCUUCGUCAAGUACGGGAUUCUCACCCUCUAUGACGCCCUGUUCCAAGGGACUUGUACAAAGUCCGGCGCGGAAAACACUUCUCUAGACUACAAUUCGGACGACCUUAGGCCGCCAGAUUUUAAAUUUGAGCUCUUCCCGCUUCACUCGCCGUUACUAGGGGAAUCCUUGUUAGUUUCUUUUCCUCCGCUUAUUGAUAUGCUUAAGUUCAGCGGGUAGUCCUACCUGAUUUGAGG
rnacentral:rRNA from 1 species